rnacentral:rRNA from 1 species
UGGGGAAUAUUGCACAAUGGGCGCAAGCCUGAUGCAGCGACGCCGCGUGAGGGAUGACGGCCUUCGGGUUGUAAACCUCUUUCAGCUCCGACGAAGCGCAAGUGACGGUAGGAGCAGAAGAAGCACCGGCCAACUACGUGCCAGCAGCCGCGGUAAUACGUAGGGUGCAAGCGUUGUCCGGAAUUAUUGGGCGUAAAGCGCGCGCAGGUGGUUUAGAAAGUCUGAUGUGAAAGCCCACGGCUCAACCGUGGAGGGUCAUUGGAAACUAAUAAACUUGAGUGCAGGAGAGAAAAGUGGAAUUCCUAGUGUAGCGGUGAAAUGCGUAGAGAUUAGGAGGAACACCGGUGGCGAAAGCGGCUUUUUGGCCUGCAACUGACACUGAGGCGCGAAAGCGUGGGGAGCAAACAGG